AUUGUAACGCAUUUUUCUUGUGCUUUGGUACUUUGAUUAGGAUAACAGUACUUGUUUUGCCUUCCUAUAGCCUUUUGUGUAACCUGUGGUAUAGGUAGUUUAGUGUUGAUUGCUACACUAUUACUGCUGUUGUGGUGCUGGGGCACUGAUCCAAUUCUAUUUUAGCCUCUUGUUGUGUUAGUUUUCUUAGGUGAGUGGUUCUGAUUGUUCUAGGAUUCUUGGCUGCAUUGGUUUGGAUUAUAUCUUAAGAUGUCUACUGUUGACGUGUUUUUUGAUGAUCCCUCUGAGGACCUGCUAGAGGAAUUUACUAAAGAGCAGCUGUUUAAAAUAGCAGAAUAUUACGAAAUUGAGAUUUCUAGUAUUGAUAAACGACUUGGAGCUAACGUUGUUAGAUAUUGAAGGCAAGAAGACUACCUCUCCUGUUGCAUUUGAGGUAGGUAGGCAUAUUCGCAUGGUUCCUUCGUUUUCAGAAAAAGAGGUAGAGGGGUACUUUUCUCAUUUUGAGAGAGUGGCCACCUCUUUAAAUUGGCCGAAGGAUGUAUGGACUUUGUUGCUGCAAUGUGUCCUUACUGGUAAGGCCCAAGAGGCAUAUUCAACUUUAUCAUUUGAAGACAGUGUUGAUUAUGAUUUAGUCUGGGCUGCCAUCUUGCGUACAUAUGAACUGGUACCUGAAGCAUACCGAAAGAAGUUCCGACGCUAUGCUAAGCAGGAUAAACACACUUAUGUGGAGUUUUCAAGGGAGAAGGGGCAGUUGUUUGAUAGGUGGUGUCGAUCUCAGAAGGUUGAGACUAAGGAACAACUCCGUGGGAUGAUGGUUCUGGAGGAGUUUAAGAAUGGUCUGCCUGAGGCCAUUACCACUUAUCUCAAUGAACAAAAAGUAAUCAAGGUGUCAGAAGCUGCCGUCCUUGCUGAUGAAUUUGUGUUAACCCAUAAGAUUGUGUUUGGGGAAAAACAUUGUAAUGAGGGCAAAGACAGACAUCAAGGGGGUUUUCGUUCCUUCAAGCCCACUUCCACUGGCCCGGUGCCAUCUGUGCCACUGGCUGAUAAGUCUAGCCCUGUGGGUAAAUACCCUGAUGGAGUCUGUUUUUACUGCAAAAAGACAGGACAUAGGAUCUCCAAUUGCUUUAGUGUCAGAAAAAACAGCAGGGUGCUAAAUCUGUUGGCCUGGUAGCUCCUUUGACUUCUUGUGACGUUGCUGAACCUGAAUUCCAUGUCUCACCAUCCAAAUGCUCCAGUACUCAAAAGAAUUACACUCCAUUUCUCAUGAAUGGCUGUGUGUCAAUACCUGGCCAGGGUGGAAAUGCACCAGUCUGUAUCCUCAGAGACACAGGUGCUGCUCAGUCCUUCUUAUAGGAGUUUUACCCCUGUCUGAACAGACCUCCACUGGCACUAGUGUUUUAAUCCGAGGGUUUGAGAUGGGCUUUGUUGACGUGCCCUUACAUCGCAUUGAUUUAAUUUCUGACCUAGUGACUGGCAGUGUCGUAGUGGGAGUGCAACCGUCCCUCCCCGUGCCUGGUGUUACAUUUAUUUUUGGGAAUGAUCUGGCAGGUGGAAAUGUUUGGAGACAAUCUGACACUCCACCUGAAGUUGUCUCUGUGCCAUUGGUGUGCGAGGGUCCAGAUGAGUUGGAACAGAAAUAUCCUGAUGUUUUCCCUACAUGUGCUGUCACUCGUGCUAUGGCAAAGCAACGUGAUGCUAGCGACUUGCAGGAAGAGUGUUUUGACGACCUUUGUGACACGUUUUUUGGGCACCCUGAAAUUUCUGACUCACAGUCUGUCUUUCUCCCCACGGUCAAGACAUCUGAAGACCUUGUUCCAGAGAAGGGUGAUACUGUGAAAACCACCAUUUGUGACAUGCCACUGUCUCGAGCACAAUUAAUCUCUGCUCAGAAGGCUGAUCCAACCCUUGUGUCUCUGUUUGAGUCUGUGUCUCCUGAUCAGGAGAUUGAUGCUGUGCCCCAAGGAUAUUUCCUUAGGGAU